rnacentral:sRNA from 1 species
UUGACAGGCCUGGAGAUUGAUGCUUUUAUUUAGUUACAGAAUGGGUACAGCACAAGCAGUGACAAUGCAACCCUCUCCAAAAUGCCUCAAUGCUGACCUGAUAGAACCACCUCUAGAGGUGAGAUGGUAGUUAAUUUUCAAUGCCCAUUGAAUCAUUGGCUUCU